rnacentral:rRNA from 1 species
UGAGGAAUAUUGCGCAAUGGGGGAAACCCUGACGCAGCGACGCCGCGUGGAGGAUGAAGGUUUUAGGAUUGUAAACUCCUGUUAAGUGGGACGAAAAACUCUGUUUUAAUACAGCAGAGCAAUGACGGUACCACUAGAGAAAGCACCGGCUAACUUCGUGCCAGCAGCCGCGGUAAUACGAGGGGUGCAAACGUUAUUCGGAAUCAUUGGGCGUAAAGGGUGCGUAGGCGGUGUAGACAGUCUAUAGUUAAAUUUCUCAGCCUAACUGGGAGCUUGCUGUGGAUACUAUUACACUAGAGGAUGGAAGAGAGAAGUGGAAUUCUCGGAGUAGCGGUAAAAUGCGUAGAUCUCGAGAGGAAUACCGAUGGCGAAGGCAGCUUCUUGGUCCAUUUCUGACGCUGAGGCACGAAAGCGUGGGGAGCAAACA